rnacentral:tRNA from 1 species
GCCGCGGUGAUAGCUCAGUGGAUAAAGCACCAGGUGAAAAGAUGGCGAUUACUCCGAGCGUUAUUAUCCGCGCGGGUUCGAAUCCUGCCUGUGGCA